rnacentral:rRNA from 1 species
UGGGGAAUAUUGGGCAAUGGGCGCAAGCCUGACCCAGCAACGCCGCGUGAAGGAUGAAGGCCUUCGGGUUGUAAACUUCUUUGAUCAGGGACGAAACAAAUGACGGUACCUGAAGAACAAGCCACGGCUAACUACGUGCCAGCAGCCGCGGUAAUACGUAGGUGGCGAGCGUUAUCCGGAUUUACUGGGUGUAAAGGGCGUGUAGGCGGGUCUGCAAGUCGGAUGUGAAAUUCCCGGGCUUAACUCGGGCGGGUCAUCCGAAACUGCGGAUCUUGAGUACUGGAGAGGAUAGUGGAAUUCCUAGUGUAGCGGUAAAAUGCGUAGAUAUUAGGAGGAACACCGGUAGCGAAAGCGACUUCCUGGCUUGGCACUGACACUGAUACACGAAAGCGUGGGGAGCAAACA